rnacentral:rRNA from 1 species
GGGGUAAAAUUAAUAAUAAAAAAAAUAAUAAAAAAAAUUUUAAUAUUAAAAUAUUUAAUGGGGGUUAUAGUAUUUUAAUAGAAAAAAUUUGAAAUUUUAUAGUUAAUUAGUAUUGUGAAAGAAUUUUGAAAUAUGAAUGAAAAUAAAAUAAAUAAAAAGUAGAUUUAAUUUAUUGUAUCUUGUGUAUCAGAGUUUAUUAAAAAAUAUUUAUAAAAUUAAAUUUCUCGAAUUUAAAAGAGUUAAUUAAUUAAAAAAUUUAUUGUUGAAUAAAUAUUUUUAAUAAUUAAUUAGAAAUGAAAUGUUAUUCGUUUUUAAAUAUAUCUAGUUAUUUUAGAAAAAAAUUUAAUUUUUAAUUAAAAUUAAUAAUUAAUUAAUUAAUUAAUUAAUUAUUAAUUUUAAUUUAAUAUUUUAAGGGAUAAGCUUUAAUUUAAAUUCUUAUAAAAAUAUAUUAAAAUUUGAAAAUUUUAUAAUUUAGAUUGUUAAUAAAUUUUAAUUUAUUAUAAAUAAUUUCAAAAAAUUAAAAAUUUAAUAAAAAUUAAUUUUUUAUAAAAUAAAAAUUUUAAAUAAUAAAAAAUUAAUUAUAAUGAUAAAAUUAGUAUAUAAUAUAUGUAUAUAUUUUUAUAUGUAUAAAUUUAAAAAUUAAUGAUUUGUGAUAGUUAAAUAUAAAGGAACUCGACAAAAGUAUAUAUUCACCUGUUUAUCAAAAACAUGUCUUUUUGAAUUAAUAAUUUAAAGUCUAAUCUGCCCACUGAUUUAAUAUUGAAGGGCUGCAGUAUAUUGACUGUACAAAGGUAGCAUAAUCAUUAGUCUCUUAAUUGGUGACUUGUAUGAAGGAUUGGAUGAAAUAUAAAUUGUCUCUAUAAUAUUUAUUGAAUUUAAUUUUUUAAUUAAAAAGUUAAAAUGAUUUAAAAAGACGAGAAGACCCUAUAGAGUUUUAUAUUUAAAGUUUUUUAAAGUUAAAAUAAAUUGAUUAUUUAAAAAAUAAAUAAAUAUUUUGUUGGGGUGAUAAAAAAAUAGGAAAAACUUUUUUUAAUUUAAAACAUAAAUAAGUGGUUAAUUGAUCCAGUAAUAUUGAUUAUAAGAAAAAAUUACCUUAGGGAUAACAGCGUAAUUUUUUUUUUUAGUUCAAAUAAGAAAAAAAGUUUGCGACCUCGAUGUUGGAUUAAGAUAAAAGUUAAAUGCAAAAGUUUAAAAUUUUGAUCUGUUCGAUCAUUAAAAUCUUACAUGAUCUGAGUUCAAACCGGUGUAAGCCAGGUUGGUUUCUAUCUUUUAAUUAAUUAAAUAUUUUAGUACGAAAGGAUCAAAUAUUGUGAUUAUAUCAAAUAAGUUGAAUAUUAUUAAAAUUUUAAUAAAUUUG